rnacentral:rRNA from 1 species
UACGUAGGGUGCGAGCGUUAAUCGGAAUUACUGGGCGUAAAGCGUGCGCAGGCGGCUUUUUAAGUCCGAUGUGAAAUCCCCGGGCUUAACCUGGGAAUGGCAUUUGGGACUGCAAGGCUGGAGUGUGGCAGAGGAGACUGGAAUUCCUGGUGUAGCAGUGAAAUGCGUAGAUAUCAGGAGGAAUACCGAUGGCGAAGGCAGGUCUCUGGGCUGACACUGACGCUCAUGCACGAAAGCGUGGGGAGCAAACAGG